rnacentral:lncRNA from 10 species
GUGUGUGCCUGUAAUCCUAGCUACUCAGGAGGCUGAGGCACAAGAAUCACUUGAACCUGGGCAGCGGGGUUGCAGUGAGCAAAGAUUGUACCACUGCACUCCAGGCUGGGUGACAGAGUGAUUAUUCUGUCUCAAAAAAAAUAAAAAGCCAUCACAUUAAUAAGAAUGCCCCCUGGUAUUAUUAAACUCUAGCUGUAGAAGCAUUACAAAGAGGAAAUUCUUUACCAGUACUUCUUUCCUCAUUGUCACACCCCACAGCCUACUCUCUCAAAAAUGAAGUUGCUUCUAUCAUGAGCAAUCCCAGGGACGGCAGGAGAAACAUAUACACACACAUACCGGCAGAGAGUUAGAACUAAUCCUUUCCACUGCAUGUCCACAAAAAAGACUGUGUUUACAUUUUCAGCUAGAGAUCAUAGGAAAAGCUUAUUCUUUGCAACUCUGUCUCUUAGCUUAACUGUUGACCCAAAGUCUUUGUUUAUUUAAUGAGUCCAACUCAUGUUGUAUGAGAUAUCCCUAUUGUGUCUAUUACUCUUUCUUCUUGUGCUCUCUGUCUUGACUACAGUACAAUUACAGUACAAAGCAAUAAAAGAGACACUUUCCUUUAUGUUUGUGAGAAUAGAGUCUAUUGACAUAUGGUUUACAAAACAAUUAUGAGUACACUUACAGUGCCCAUUGAAUUAAGAGGGUUAGCUCAGUUUGGAAAACCCUAGCAUAUGUAUAAUUUCUAAAUCUGUAAUAUCUAGUAAUCUACUUGAUAAAUUAAUUGAAUUUAUUGAUUAAUGCAAUAAAAGUCCAUAGCUGAUCUGAAAUCUUUCAAGAAAAGUAAUUAUUUUAUAUUUAUAUUUACUCUAUUAGAUCUCCAGAGAACAUGAUUAGAAUUGAGCCCUUCAAAAUAUUCUGAAAUUACAUCCUCAUGGAAUGGCAAGAUGUAAUAAUUGUUCUGCCUGGGGAAGUCAGAGAGGGUUCCAGAGCAGAGUAUACACACAUGAACCUACUCCCUCUCGUUUACUUACUGCAGACAUUGCGAAUAAAGCUCGCACUUCACUCUUUUCCUCUGUUUCUAGAUGUGGUCUUUCAUUUCCUCGGCAGAAUACUCCUGGCAUGAUCUUUAAGGAAUGAAAUGUUGUCUACCAACCUCGGCUGAGUGUACACAGUUCUGGGAAAAGGUGCAUCUUAGACUAAUCUGAUUUAAGACCAGUAAAAUAAAUAUUUUGGUGUCACGUGAUGUUUCCCUGAAAGUUAAUGUCACAGCUAGACCUCUUAAUUAUGACUCAGUGCACUUCCUAUGAUAUUACAGUCUCUAAAGCUAACUUGAUCUCACUUCUGAUUAAAAAAAACCGAUUACUUUAAAGCACAUAGUGUACUUCUUGACUCUGAAGCACCAUUCACUCUAGGAUGCAGUGUUACUUCUAAAAAAGAUGCUUCCAAUUAAACUAAAAUUCAAUGCUUACUGUCACUUACAUUUGUAUUUUAUAUGUGUAUACUAAAAGAGCUUUUUAAAGGGUAUAUUUUUAUCAAGAAUAAGAAACAGGUUGAGUUGUUCCUGUAAAUUUUACAUAAUUAGACUACAAAUUUUCUAAGUAAUUUUUCAAUUCAGCAAUUGAUAUCAUCUUCAAAAACAUUGAUAAUAUAGUAUUUCCUAAAAUCAUAUAUAGAAGAACACUUUAGUAAUGGGUUCUUAAGACAACUUUGUAAUUAUGAUGAUCUAGCUUACUUUUAAAUACCACAUCAGGAAUUUUACUAAAUACUGUCUAAUUCAAUUUCUUUACUCAUAGUUUCUAAGAAUUUAAAAGAACUCUCCAGAAUUAUUUCUGGGCUUUCCUACAAGCCACUGCUACCUUUUCUGCAAGUUUUUGUCUGGCAUUUUGAUGGUUGCCCAUAAAUAAGUAAUGGAAUUAUCCUCACUGGCUGAUUGCUGUUGGGAGACACUAUUGAUUUCAACACACAUCAAAUUUCAACGGUGUUAAAAUGAGAAAAAAAUCAGUGUCUCAUGAGUGAAGAAACACAGUAACAUAGUGAGAAUAUUCAAGUAUCACUAAUUCAACAGGAGGCUCUGCUUAAGUUCUUAUGAUUUAUGGUCAAGCCUUAAAAUCAAAGUCCAAAAUGUUAUAUUAAUGCAUUAGCUUUUUUUUUUAAUUAAAAAGACAUUCAUUUUAGGAUCAAAAUAAAAUUUCCACAUAUUCUAGUUUUUCUUUUUGUUCCCUAAGUUAAAUUAAUAUAGACCUUGAUGCUUAUCCCUAAAACUUCAAAUUGCUUAUUUGUACUAAUAUAACUAAAUUCUCUGGAGUAAAGUAUCCCCGUGAAAUCCAUAGGAUAUCCUACAGCAAAUCCUAUGGACUUUACACUCAAAACACAUCUUGAUUUGAACAUUUCUCAUCAUCCCUCUGCUACUACACUGGUCCAAAGCACCAUAUUCUAUUGUCUGGAUUACUAUAGUAAUCUAACAAUUCUUACCAUUUCUACCCCAGCUCUGUUUUGCUCUAUUCUCAACACAGCAUCCAAAGAGGUACUAAUAAUUUUUUUGCCUAAAACUUGGCAACUGUUUCUCAUUUAACUCAGAGUAUGAUUCAAAACCUGUAACAACUUAAUAAUCCUCGUGCCUACAUUUCAUUCCAAAUAACUCCCUCAAAUUUUGUAUCUUCCCUUCUGUUGUAUUUUUCAUAUCAUUUACUACCAUCUAACAUUUUUACAUAUUACACUACAAUAUAAGUUUCACAGGGAAAGAUUCUGUUGUUUUGUUUACUGUUGUAUUCCCAUUAUGCAGAGCAGAGAGUGGUGCACGGUAAGCAUCCAAUACUCAGCUAACAAGUGAAUUCAUCCUGCCAAGCUAAGCAUAUACUUUCCUUGGGGGCAUAGAUCAAACUAUAAGAAGUAGGUGAACAUAGACUCAAAAGAAGAGCAGUUAUUUACAUGUUUCCUACUAUCAUAAUCCAGUGCUUCUAUUUCCAAUGCAUGGUAUGAAGAGAUACCAUGCAUUAUAUUUAGAGUCCAGCCUGAGUUUGUGAUUCAAACUUCUGCUUUUCUGAAAAUGCCUCCUAAGCCUUAUUUACUUUUAUUUUCAUUUUUCAAAUUUUUAUUACACAAGCAAUACUUUAUUGCCUUGGUCUUUUAAAUAAUGAGACUAUGAGAUUGGAAGGUUGAGUCCCUUCACAACUAUCUUCCACUCUCCCCAUCCUUGCC